GUGUGUGUGUGUGUGUGUGUGUGUGUGUGUGUGUGUGUGUGUGUGUGUGUGUGUGUGUGUGUGUGAGUAAACAUGAGGGACCUUCAUGGUCUGAGCUGGAACAUCAACAUGAGUCGGACCUUCAUCAGAGGACAGAAAACAUGGCUGCUGCCGCUGUAAGCAGGGUGGAGCUGACCCCAGGUCAGCUGGUGGAGGUAUAAAUGCCUUCAGCUGCUCUGAUCCAGAUCAAAGAUGAAGUCUGUCCUGUUUUCCUCCAUGGUGGUGAUGAUGGUGAUGAUGAGUCCUUGUGUCUCUCCUGGUCCACUUCCUGCUCCACCUGAGCACACCAGACACAACAAGUCGAUCACCGAGAGUUUCCACCACUUCUUGGACCUAACGAACUUCACCAGGUCGGACCGUCAUCCGAACCAAACCGACAUUGGGUUUGUCAGGCUCCUCACCCCCCAGCGCUGUUUCCUAUCCACCUGUCUGACAGCAAACCUGGGAUCUGACCUUCAGAGAGGAGAUGAGAAGGCAGGCAGCCUCACCACCGACCCAUUCGGUAAUGGAAGAAAAUAAACAUUUACCCUCAUUAAAUGUGAAUUCAGCAGCUCAUGGAGGUUGGAGGAGCAGCUGCGCCCACAGAACUACGUCUCCCAGGAUGCACUUCAGCUACAGCCUCAUACUGACACCUAGAGGCCUCCUGUCGAACAGCAACAGCAUGGUCACACUGGCUUGUUUCUGGAACCCUGUUGGAUAAACAAUAAACUCAUUAUUCAUAUUCUAAUCUCAGGUGUUUGUUCAUCAGUUCAACAGGAAGUGGGAUUAAUGAGCUGCAGCAAUCUCAUGCAGAUAACCACAUGAUCAAAGGUAGAUAGAUGUAAGACGACUCGUGUCCUGCUUUCAGAAGCUAGUUACUCUGAGUGGCUGGGCUUCUGAAGAGAACUACAAAAAUGUCCUCCUUUCCACUACAACGUUCACGUGAGGAAGGUGCAAACGCUGUUUAGCCUUUUCUUCAGCAUCCAGACAGGGCCAGGAGCUCUGCCCCCUUGCUUCCGUACUUGUCGUCCUGAAGAUCACGAAGGUCUCCCGCUGCUGCAGCCAGUCAGAAACAAAUGCAGGUUUCAGUUUGUUACC
rnacentral:lncRNA from 1 species